rnacentral:lncRNA from 1 species
CCAUUGUAAAUGUUUAAUUUAUUUCACAUUCAAAUAUAUGCAUAUGUACAAUAAAAACAUUGUUUAUAUUCGGAUUCCUUUAGUUUAUAUAUGUGUUGCUAGUAAACCAUUUUCCCGCUUUUUUUUUACUUUUUAAAAUCCCUUAUGUAUUGUUCAUCAAUUUAUAACAGUCAUUUAAAAUGCUUGUUGAUUGGAAUUAAAUUAGUGAAUAUUUUUUUUCUUUCAUAGAACUCAUUUUAUAUACCCAUGAUACUGUUAUUUUGCAGUUUCUAAACCAAUAUCGAUUAUUUAAGCAUCACAUUUACCAUGCCUUGAUUCAAACCUCUUUUCUACAUACUAACCUUCUUUUUUAUAUUGUUUUACCUGACAAUUACUAAUUAAAUUAACACAAUGACUGCUCGAUCAAAUUAAGCCCUUCAUCAUAUAUAGGAGGUCGGACUAUUUCUUUGUAAUCCAGCAAUUCAAAACACAACAUCUUAUGACUUACCAAACAUUACUUUCAAACUUUAAAUCACAUAAUAAAUACAUUUAUAUUUUACCUUUUUGUUGUUUUUCCCUGACAAUCAUAAUAUGAAUAAUUGAGAAAUCAAAUUUAUUCCUUUAAAAAAAAGGGCUGAAUUCCUUGUUUUAAUUUCACUAUUUACAACUUCAAAUAUAUAACACAAUCAGUGCAUUUUAAAUUAAUCUGCAAUGGAAAUAACGGCUUUGAC